UACAGAGGUGGCAAGCGUUGUUCGGAUUUAUUGGGCGUAAAGGGUCCGUAGGCGGUUUGGUAAGUCAGAUGUGAAAGCCCACAGCUUAACUGUGGAACUGCAUUUGAAACUUCCAGACUAGAGUAUGAGAGGGGUUAAGGGAAUUCCCGGUGUAAGGGUGAAAUCUGCAGAGAUCGGGAGGAACACCAGUCGCGAAGGCGCUUAACUGGCUCAUUACUGACGCUCAGGGACGAAAGCUAGGGGAGCAAACGGG
rnacentral:rRNA from 1 species